UCUCAAAUGCUCUCCCACUCUAAUUUCUCUGUCAAUAUCACCAUUUUAGAGAGAGAGAGCGAGAGCGAGCUGCCAGUUCCAGAUAAUAUCCACACAAGUAGCUAGCAAUGGCAGCCACAUUCUGUAUCCUUACCUGUGGGUCUGGUCUGAAGAUACUCAACGGUUAUUUCCUGAACCAAAGUUACAUCACAAGGAGUUAUCCAAUAGUCUCCGUGUCAGAUGCUGUCAAAAAAUCAUCACAUCAUCGCCAUAGUACUCAAAGAUAUUCCAUUAGGGCUUAUUUAAGACGAUCAGAAUUAAAGCAACAACACCAACAUAGGCAGACUUCCUCCAAGUGUAGAGCUGAUCUUUCUGACUCUAGUUAUGAAGAGGAAAAGGAAGAGAAUAUUUCUAGAGCAACCUUGAUAUGGAGGGCAAUCAAAUUACCGAUCUACUCUGUUGCCUUGGUUCCUCUCACUGUAGGAAGUGCAGCUGCGUAUUUGCAGACUGGCCUUUGUUCACUUAGGCAGUAUCUUGUGCUUAUGGCUUCCUCAGUUCUUAUCAUCACUUGGCUCAACUUAAGCAACGACGUUUAUGAUUUUGAUACAGGAGCAGAUAAGAACAAGAAAGAGUCAGUUGUAAACAUGGUUGGCAGCCGUACAGGAACCCUUUUUGCUGCCUACUUACUACUUGCACUUGGCUUCAUGGGGCUUACUUGGGCAUCAAUUGAAGCUGGAAAUGUGCGUGCAAUAUUAUUACUGGCUUGUGCAAUUACUUGUGGUUACAUAUACCAGUGCCCACCAUUUCGGUUAAGUUACCAGGGGCUGGGAGAGCCAUUGUGCUUUUCAGCAUUCGGCCCAUUUGCCACUACUGCCUUCUACUUGUUGCAAAGCAGCAAAAGUGAGUUGAACAAUCUUCCCAUUACUGGCACAGUCCUUGCUGCAUCACUCCUUGUUGGCCUCACCACAUCCCUAAUCCUAUUUUGUAGUCACUUUCAUCAGGUAAAGGGUGACAGGGCUGUUGGAAAAAUGUCCCCUCUGGUUAGACUUGGUACUGAAUCAGGUUCAGAGGUUGUGAAAGUGGCCGUGAUGACUCUCUAUUUACUGUUGUUUGCUUUUGGUCUUAGCAAAUCUCUUCCUUUUACUUGCAUUUUUCUUUGUGCACUGACAUUACCCAUAGGAAAGCUAGUGGUUGACUAUGUACAAGAGAACCACAAGGACAAAACAAAAAUAUUUAUGGCCAAGUAUUAUUGUGUGAGAUUGCAUGCCUUAUUUGGAGCUGCUUUGGCUGCUGGGUUGGUAGCAGCUAGAAUCGUCUCUAGAAGAUAUAUUCCGAAGCUGCCAUUCACCUGACUCUGAUUCUUGUCCUCACAUCUUGAAGUUUUGAUGGACACAAUAUCAGCAGGAAAAUAAACAACGGGCAACUUUAGCACCGUUGUGGGUAUCGGCAAGGGCAAAUGGAAAACAUCCUACCAAGUACAAGAAGCCGAUACCGAGUUGGAUUUUUCAGAGUUUCAGCUCUGCCAAAGUUGCAUCCUGAUUCCUUACUCGAAGCUGAUUGUAGCAGAGGCCAUAUUAUUCACUAUUGUGAAAGCUGGUUUUAGCAGAGGCACAUAUUUUUCACUGUUGUGGGUCUGCUAGCUGACUUCGUUUGCUCUAGUUGAUUUUCCUGUAUAAAAACAUGUCUAGGGAAUCUACAACAUAUUAUGAAUAAAAUCAUUGUUAGCUUUGGAGGUUACAAUUUCUCUA